AUCUCUAUCUGGGGAUCCUUCCUUUUGGAGCCCUUCUGCAAGCCCAGGACACGGUGCAGGAAGAAGCAAUCUGUACCUGCAGAGAUGUACCAAGGGGCAGUAGGGGCCCAAACUCUGCUGUGAUGCUGGAAGGAGUAUGAGGACAUACUGAUAGCAUAUCUCCAGAAGUAGACACACUCCUCCCUCCACCUGUGCAGCUUGGAAGAUCUUCCCUAGAGAGGGGUUUUGUUAUGAGGGAAUCCAGUAGCAAACCAGAGCCUAUCAAUAGCCCAGUGAAGAGCAGAAAUGAUCUGAGACCCUCAUUCCAUUCUUAUAUAAAAAAUAUACAGAGAUUUUUGGGAGGUAUACACAACCCCAUGACUGCGUGCUUCCAGUUGGGCACCUUACAGGUCUGUUGUCCUCUUGCUCUGCUGACAUGAGCCAGUGAUUCUGUUGUACUAAUGUGACUUCUUUCAGACAGUUUGAUGAACUUGGCGCAGCCUGGGUGUCCUUCUGUGAAGGAACCAAAGUGAUGUCCAGAGGUUUUAUGGGUGGUUGUGCUAGAAUCCAAAUGUCUAAAUUAUCAUUCAGUGCCCAUCAUUUAUUGCCCUGGGAGACAGCAAACCCAAUACAGAUAAGCAGUGCUCUUCAUAAAGGAGGAGCUUCUGGCUGGCAUCUAAGAAAAGAAACUUCCAGAAAAGGAAAAUAUACUGAUAGUCUCCAUAUCGAACAUGAGUGCAAUUAGAAAACAGGUUGAAACAGUAUGUGGUUAAAUAAAUCAGGUACACUGUCAUUGUGAGAAACCUAUACUUUAAGUAGUCAGUAGUAUGGUUUGUGCAUGAGGAAAGGGAACACUGAUACUACCUAUCCAUCUGUCGAAUUUUCAAUAAGUGGCAGGUAGUUUUGGUAAUAAACACAAAAUAUUAAUCUAUUUUAGAGGGCAUUUUUUAUAUGCAUUCAUUUGUAAGCUUUUAAUGGUUCAGCAAAUGUAAUCUGAAACACCUGGCUGAGGUAUAUUUAAUAUGAUGUAGGGUAUGAGCUCUGGAAUAAAUUUAAUAUAAUCGCCAAAUACUGAAUAAAGCUGUGAAAUGAUUCAUUGGAGCAACAGGGAGUUAUACGAUAGAUCUUAUGUGGAAAAUAAAAUUAUAAAAUGUUAAUGAAAUAGGCAUUUAAAGCUGGAGUUAUAGUGUACAAUUUAUUCCAUUAUUAAAGUAUUAAAUUAGUUUUGUGCAAUAAACCAGGAUGAAUGUAAGACUAAUGAUUAUGAAGAUGACAAGUGGGGAAAAUAAAUUAGUGUGUGCUGCUAUGGUGUAAAAUCAAGUAUAGCUGUGUAGUUACAAAAACAAAAAUUUCUCUGUAAUUCGAUAUGUAACAAAUGCCCCAAAAGCACAGAAGUUGCAUUUGUCACUGUGGCUAUUUUAAAGAUUUUUCUUUUCUGUGACAAAUCACCAUGAAAAUGAAGUCUGAAUAU
ensembl:lncRNA